rnacentral:tRNA from 1 species
UCUCUUAAAGUAAUAUUUACACUUUAAUUUCGACUUAAAACUAUGAUUUAAUUCUAAUCUAAGAGAA